rnacentral:tRNA from 1 species
AUUUAAGUAGUUUAUUAAAAAUAUUAAUUUGUGGAAUUAAAGAAAUGAUAUUUUCAUCUUAGAUA